rnacentral:rRNA from 1 species
CUAGUGACCGAUAGUGAACCAGUACCGUGAGGGAAAGGUGAAAAGCACCCCGGGAGGGGAGUGAAAUAGAACCUGAAACCGUGUGCCUACAACAAGUUCGAGCCCGUUAAUGGGUGAGAGCGUGCCUUUUGUAGAAUGAACCGGCGAGUUACGAUAUGAUGCGAGGUUAAGUUGAAGAGACGGAGCCGUAGGGAAACCGAGUCUUAAUAGGGCGCAUUAGUAUCAUGUCGUAGACCCGAAACCAUGUGACCUACCCAUGAGCAGGUUGAAGGUGAGGUAAAACUCACUGGAGGACCGAACCAGGGCACGUUGAAAAGUGCUUGGAUGACUUGUGGGUAGCGGAGAAAUUCCAAACGAACUUGGAGAUAGCUGGUUCUCUCCGAAAUAGCUUUAGGGCUAGCGUCGAUGUUAAGUCUCUUGGAGGUAGAGCACUGUUUGGGUGAGGGGUCCAUCCCGGAUUACCAAUCUCAGAUAAACUCCGAAUGCCAACGAGAUAUAAUCGGCAGUCAGACUGCGAGUGCUAAGAUCCGUAGUCGAAAGGGAAACAGCCCAGACCACCAGCUAAGGUCCCAAAAUAUAUGUUAAGUGGAAAAGGAUGUGGGGUUGCACAGACAACUAGGAUGUUAGCUUAGAAGCAGCUAUUCAUUCAAAGAGUGCGUAAUAGCUCACUAGUCGAGUGACCCUGCGCCGAAAAUGUACCGGGGCUAAAACAUAUUACCGAAGCUGUGGAUACCUUUAUAGGUAUGGUAGGAGAGCGUUCUAUGUGUGAAGAAGGUGUACCGUGAGGAGCGCUGGAACGCAUAGAAGUGAGAAUGCCGGUAUGAGUAGCGAAAGACAGGUGAGAAUCCUGUCCACCGUAUGACUAAGGUUUCCAGGGGAAGGCUCGUCCUCCCUGGGUUAGUCGGGACCUAAGGAGAGACCGAAAGGUGUAUCCGAUGGACAACAGGUUGAUAUUCCUGUACUAGAGUAUAUAGUGAUGGAGGGACGCAGUAGGCUAACUAAAGCGUGCGAUUGGAAGUGCACGUCUAAGCAGUGAGGUGUGAUAUGAGUCAAAUGCUUAUAUCUUUAACAUUGAGCUGUGAUGGGGAGCGAAGUUAAGUAGCGAAGUUAGUGAUGUCACACUGCCAAGAAAAGCUUCUAGCGUUAAUUAUACUCUACCCGUACCGCAAACCGACACAGGUAGUCGAGGCGAGUAGCCUCAGGUGAGCGAGAGAACUCUCGUUAAGGAACUCGGCAAAAUGACCCCGUAACUUCGGGAGAAGGGGUGCUGACUUAUGUCAGCCGCAGUGAAUAGGCCCAAGCAACUGUUUAUCAAAAACACAGCUCUCUGCUAAAUCGUAAGAUGAUGUAUAGGGGGUGACGCCUGCCCGGUGCUGGAAGGUUAAGAGGAGUGCUUAGCGUAAGCGAAGGUAUGAAUUGAAGCCCCAGUAAACGGCGGCCGUAACUAUAACGGUCCUAAGGUAGCGAAAUUCCUUGUCGGGUAAG